rnacentral:rRNA from 1 species
UACGUAGGGUGCAAGCGUUGUCCGGAAUUAUUGGGCGUAAAGAGCUCGUAGGCGGUCCGUCACGUCGCUGUGAAAACCUGGGGCUCAACCCCGGGCCUGCAGCCGAUACGGGCGGACUAGAAUUCGGUAGGGGAGACUGGAAUUCCUGGUGUAGCGGUGAAAUGCGCAGAUAUCAGGAGGAACACCGGUGGCGAAGGCGGGUCUCUGGCGAGAAACAUGACGCUGAGGCGCGAAAGCUAGGGGAGCAAACAGG